UGGUCGGUCGCCGACGGCACCGGCGCGCCGUCGCGCGACGCCAGGUCGCCGUAGCGGCCGAACGCGCGGAUCGUCUGCGCGUUGAUCGA
rnacentral:tRNA from 1 species